GUAAUAUAAGAUACGGUCUCUUAGCUUUUAACUAAAAAAACUAAAAGACGUACUUUUAACUAAAAAAAUUAAGAGACGUCUCUUAGUUUUUUUAGUUAAAAGCUAAGAAAUUGUAUCUUAUAUUAC
rfam:Brassica napus, WGS project CCCW01000000 data, contig: 10161